AUUGAACGCUGGCGGCAGGCCUAACACAUGCAAGUCGAACGAGUGGCGGACGGGUGAGUAAUGUCUGGGAAACUGCCUGAUGGAGGGGCAUAACUACUGGAAACGGUAGCUAAUACCGCAUACCUUCAGUCGUGCCCAGAUGGGAUUAGCUUGUUGGUGGGGUAACGGCUAACCAAGGCGACGGUCCCGAGCUGGUCUGAGAGGCUGACCAGCAACAGUGGAACAGAGACACGGUCCAGACUCCUACGGGAGGCAGCAGGGGGGAAUAUUGCACAAUGGGCGCAAGCAUGAUGCAGCCAUGCCGCGUGAAUGAAGAAGGCCUUCGGGUUGUAAAGUACUUUCAGCGGGGAGUCGUUACCCGCAGAAGAAGCACCGACUAACUCCGUGCCAGCAGCCGCGGUAAUUC
rnacentral:rRNA from 1 species